UUGGGCGUAAAGCGCGCGCAGGCGGCUUCUUAAGUCUGAUGUGAAAGCCCACGGCUCAACCGUGGAGGGUCAUUGGAAACUGGGGAGCUUGAGUACAGAAGAGGAGAGUGGAAUUCCACGUGUAGCGGUGAAAUGCGUAGAGAUGUGGAGGAAUACCAGUGGCGAAGGCGGCUCUCUGGUCUGUUACUGACGCUGAGGCGCGAAAGCGUGGGGAGCAAACAGGAUUAGAUACCCUGGUAGUCCACGCCGUAAACGAUGAGUGCUAGGUGUUAGGGGGGUCCAACCCCUUAGUGCUGAAGUUAACACAUUAAGCACUCCGCCUGGGGAGUACGACCGCAAGGUUGAAACUCAAAGGAAUUGACGGGGGCCCGCACAAGCAGUGGAGCAUGUGGUUUAAUUCGAAGCAACGCGAAGAACCUUACCAGGUCUUGACAUCCUCUGACAACCCUAGAGAUAGGGCGUUCCCCUUCGGGGGACAGAGUGACAGGUGGUGCAUGGUUGUCGUCAGCUCGUGUCGUGAGAUGUUGGGUUAAGUCCCGCAACGAGCGCAACCCUUGAUCUUAGUUGCCAGCAUUCAGUUGGGCACUCUAAGGUGACUGCCGGUGACAAACCGGAGGAAGGUGGGGA
rnacentral:rRNA from 1 species